AACGAACGCUGGCGGCAUGCCUAACACAUGCAAGUCGAACGAAGCCUUCGGGCUUAGUGGCGCACGGGUGCGUAACGCGUGGGAAUCUGCCCUUGGGUUCGGAAUAACAGUUAGAAAUGACUGCUAAUACCGAAUGAUGUCUUCGGACCAAAGAUUUAUCGCCCAAGGAUGAGCCCGCGUCGGAUUAGCUAGUUGGUGAGGUAAAGGCUCACCAAGGCGACGAUCCGUAGCUGGUCUGAGAGGAUGAUCAGCCACACUGGGACUGAGACACGGCCCAGACUCCUACGGGAGGCAGCAGUGGGGAAUAUUGGACAAUGGGCGAAAGCCUGACCCAGCAAUGCCGCGUGAGUGAUGAAGGCCUUAGGGUUGUAAAGCUCUUUUACCCGGGAUGAUAAUGACAGUACCGGGAGAAUAAGCCCCGGCUAACUCCGUGCCAGCAGCCGCGGUAAU
rnacentral:rRNA from 1 species